rnacentral:rRNA from 1 species
AUUGAACGCUGGCGGCAUGCUUUACACAUGCAAGUCGAACGGUAACAGGCCUUCGGGUGCUGACGAGUGGCGAACGGGGGAGUAAUGCAUCGGAACGUACCCAGAGGUGGGGGAUAACGCAGCGAAAGCUGUGCUAAUACCGCAUGUGAUCUGAGGAUGAAAGCGGGGGACCGCGCAGCAAUGUUUGGCCUCGUGCCUUUGGAGCGGCCGAUGUCGGAUUUGCUAGUUGGUAGAGUAAAGGCCUACCAAGUCGACGAUCCGUAGCUGGUCUGAGAGGACGACCAGCCACACUGGUACUGAGACACGGCCCAGACUCCUACGGGAGGCAGCAGUGGGGAAUUUUGGACAAUGGGAGCAGACCUAAUCCAGCAAUGCCGCGUGCGAGAAGAAGGCCUUCGGAUUGUAAACCGCUUUUGGCAGGAACGAAACGGUGUCCGCUAAUACCGGGCGCUAAUGACGGUACCUGCAGAAUAAACACCGGCUGACUACGUG